rnacentral:rRNA from 1 species
UACGUAGGGGGCAAGCGUUGUCCGGAUUUAUUGGGCGUAAAGAGCGUGUAGGCGGCCACACAGGUCAGCUGUGAAAACUCGAGGCUCAACCUCGAGACGCCGAUGGAAACCCCCGAACUAGAGUCCGGAAGAGGAGAGUGGAAUUCCUGGUGUAGCGGUGAAAUGCGCAGAUAUCAGGAAGAACACCCGUGGCUAAGGCGGCUCUCUAGUACGGUACUGACGCUGAGACGCGAAAGCGUGGGGAGCGAACAGG